rnacentral:lncRNA from 10 species
AAGACACAGUGAAUGCUCAGGCAUACGCUCAGGGUCAGCUCCCAGACCAAGACCCCAGGGGGGACCCGGAGGAUGCAACUCAGCUUCAGCGUUUGCAGAGGUACCAAAAGGUCGCUUUUGCAGGGGAUAAGAGCUAAUAAAAAGAAAGCAAUUAAUAUAAGGAAGAUUUCAGAAGUGCUUCAGGGAGCUGACAAGAGCCUAAGUCACUUUUAUCAGAGACUUUGUGAAGCAUCCUGGUUUUACACCCCAUUUGACCCUGAGGCUGCUGAAAAUCAGCACAUGGUAAACACAGCAUUUGUAGGGCAAGCCCAGGGUGACAUCAAGCGGAAACUUCAGGCAUGAAUGCCACCCAGCUUAUAAAAGUGGCCACCAAGGUGUAUGUUAACCGUGACCAGGGAACAAAUGGGAAAGAGCGAAAGCAACAAGCACGGCACCAGGCAGCCAGGCACGCUAAGGGUUAAGUCCCUUUCCCCAGCCCAGCUCUAUCUGGAAAAAGAGGGAGGCAGGGACCCGCAUGGGAGCAGAGCAAAGGCGAAGGAAGGGAGAAAGUAAGAGUAAGUGUGAAAAAGGAAAGAAGAAAGUAAAAAGGAAAAUUGGAAAGAAACAGAAAAGACCGAUGGCAGUGCGUGCGUGGGGGCAGAGCCCGUGUGCCUGGCCCUGCCAGCCGUAGGAGCAGAACUCAGGAAGGAAAAAGAAAGCAGAGCAAAGACUUAAGAAAAAUGCGGAUCUGUUGGCAGCAGUCUUUAUAGAAAAAGAGAUUAGCAAUGUGAGAGGACGUGGACAAGGAUGUGGACAUGGAAGGGGUCAAGUUAGGCAGGGAUUUGAGAGCCCGACAAGGCUAGAAAGAGAUCAAUGUGUGAGACGGAAAAAGAAAGGACCCUGGAAGGAUAAAUGUCCAGAAGGUAAUAAAGAGAGUGGUAAAGCUGUGGUAUAAAGAAGUCAUCGGCCAAGGGCUGCCACACCUUAGAAAGACCAGAUGCUCAUCUGCUCGGGCUGGCAGGAGCUGAAGGAUGUGAGGACUAGGACAAACCGGGCUCCUUUUCAUCAGGUCUCCAGGAGCCCAUGGUCACAUUAGAAGUUGAAGGCAGCAGGAUUCUGUGUAUCUGGAUUCCAAGUUUCUCACUGAUGGCUACGCCACUAUAUAAAGUUACAAAGGUGGGGAGAACAAGAAUCCCUUCUCUGGGAAACUGAACAGGAGAAGGAGCCAUGCCUUCAUUCCUUGUGAGACUUGCUUAUAAACUUUACCGAAAUGCCUCACGCCAGAGGCUAUUGGUAUAUGCUAGUGUUUAUUUGCACCUUUUUCAGGAUGGAUUGAGGCCUCCCCCACUAGGACAGAAAAAGCACGAGAAGUGACUAAAGUACUGUUAAGAGACAUUACCCUCAGGUUUGGACUGCCUCUAACUUUAAAGUCAGACAAUGGGUCGGCAUUUGUAGCUGAAAUAGUGCAAGAUUUAACAAAACUGUUGAAAAUAAAAUGGAAGCUACACACAGCCUUCGGCCGCAAAAUUCAGGAAAAGUGGAACGCAUGAACUGGACACUCAAGCAGCUACUGAAGAAAUAUUGCCAGGAACCUCAUCUGAGAUAGGAUCAGGUUUUGCCUGUGGUCCUCCUCUGAGUCAGGUGCACCCCCACCAAACAAACUGGUUGCAGGUGUUAUGCCUUGGAUCCACCACAGUUGGCUGAAACUGGCAGCUCAGGUACAAGUAAACCAGUCAGCAGAACCCAGACCAUUUGACCCGGCUGAUCCUGCGACAAGACCGAGUUGCUGCUGAGGACGACAGCCCUGCUCUGCUCACUCCGGAGGCUGACCAGUCUAUGCAUGGCUGAAGCUUGAGGAAACAACAAUCCUUGCUCUAGUCACACACCAGAAGCUGACUAGUCUAUGCAGGACUGAAGCUUGAUUCGUCAAGCAAGUAAAUGUAGCUAGAAAUCUUAGGACUAGAAGCUUUCCUGUAAUACUGUUUUACUAUUGUUUUGUUGCUGUGCUCAACCUCCUUCCCCAGUAAGUCUUGUUGCUGCUCGCUCUUUGGGUGUACACUGCCUGUAUGAGCUGUGACCCUCAUUUGUGAAGGUCUGCAGUUUCAUUCCUGAAACCAGCAAGACCAUGAAUUCUCUGGGAGGAGUGAAUAGCUCCAGAUGCCCUGCCUUAAGAGCCGUAACAUUCACCGCGAAGGUUUGCAGCUUACCUCCUGAGCCAGCGAGACCACGAACCCCACCAGAAGGAAGAAACUGAACACAUCCAAGUGUCAGAAGGAACAAACUCCAGAUAUGCAUCCUUUAAGAACUCUAACCCUCACUACAAGGGUCAGCGGCUUUGUUCUUGAAGUCAGUGAGACCAUAAAACCCACCAAUUGUAGACACAAGCACCCACAGAAGGGUGUCCUCACUGUACACAUACUACUUCGUCUGGGAACAGUAUAACCAGAACGCUGUUGUACCAUAAUUAUUGGUGUACAGGGACUUGCUUAGGAACUUGUGUUUAUAAUCAGACCACGUACUCAAUUUGUGACCCAGGAAAUAACCAACCUUAUGAUCUUAAAGUUUUCUUUUUAUUAUAAGUUCUAGAGUACAUGUGCACAAUGUGCAGGUUUGUCACACAGGUAUAUAUAUAUAUGUGCCAUGUUGGUGUGCUGUACCCAUUAACUCGUCAUUGACAUUAGGUAUUUCCCUUAAUACUAUCCCUCCCCCCUGCCCCCCACCCCACGACAGGCCCUGGUCAGUGAUGUUCCCUGCUCUGUCCCAAGUUUUCCCAUUGAAUUCCCACCUAUGAGUGAGAACAUGCAGUGUUUAUCUGUCCUUGAAAUAGUUUGCUCAGAAUGAUGGUUUCCAGCUUCAUCCAUGUUGUUAGAAAGGAGAUGGACUCAUCCUUUUUCAUGGCUGCAUAGUAUUCCAUGGUGUAUAUAUGCCACAUUUUGUUAAUCCAGUGUAUCAUUGAUGGACAUUUGGGUUGGUUCCAAGUCUUUGCUAUUACGAGUAGUGCAGCAAUAAACAUAUGUGUGCAUGUGUCU